CGUUGGUCCUGGCAUAGCCUCCUAUAUUUUUCAUGCCCGCGCAAUGGUGCCGCGGAGACCGUCCAUUGCCCUCUCCUUUCCUCCUCGAUUUACGCCUCGGCUCUCCGCGAGAGGCGCUCACACCCCAUACUACCUAAAAUGCUGCCCUCACAUGCCAGACCGAGCUACGCGUCGAGGCCCAUCGAAGCACCCUAACCGAUCCGUCAAGCAAGAGUUGUGCGAUUUCCGUCGUGUUGGUUGCAGAGUCCUGAUUGACAUCGGAAUUGUGAAGGCCUGCAGAGGUGAGAUUCUAUAAGGCAGACAGACAGCAGGGAAGAGAUUUGGCAGCUCGCUGAAGCCUCUCUGUGAACUUACUUGGUUGCAGCUGGAGAAAGCAGUAUGCUUAAUACCUUUCACAGCUCAGCAGCUUUGAAAGUGUCCAAGUGCAUGCAGAUGGUGCAAAUGAAGUGCCAGAAAGUGAUCCUGCUACCAGAGAUCAACAGAAGCCAUGCCAUACCACUGGUGGUGUCAUGCAACAAUUUUUCUGCUCUCAUAUAUACUGAUAUGAAGUUGGGCACUGUUCCCAGAAGUGUGUAAUCAAUGCAGAGUAAAGAGCUUUGUCUAUUUAUUGUACCUUCAAGGCCCAAAGGUGUUACAGAAAAGAAUGGAACGAAAUACAGAGCAUGUACAGAUGACAGGGUAUAAUAAUUUUUUUUUUAAAAUUAGAAUUAAAAAGUGCGGAUUAACAAAAGUAUUCUUCAACAGUAGUUCUAAAAGCAGGUGUAUCGGUUAUGUUAACAAUUAAAGCCGGCUGACGAUUCCAUUCAUCGGUAGUUUUAGGAAUAAAUGGAUGAAAAAAUUG